GAAAUUAUUGUCUUUGGUCCUUUAUAUAUAUAUAUUUGACAUUAUUGGUCCUUUAUGUUAUACCUUACACAUCAAAAUGGUUUUAUCGUCAGGUUUCGUCAAAUAUUAUGUUAAAUUGAUGACGUGGAAUUUAAGCAGAGCCCACAUUUUCAAUGGCAUUGUGCCACAUAAAUUUGAAUUAAAAAAUUAUUUUAAAAAAUUCAUAAUUUUUUUUAAAAGUAUGCAACUUCCAGCCUUUCCCUACCCCCUCCCUUAUGCUCUCUCUCUCUCUCUCUCUCUCUCUCUCUCUCUCUCUCUCAAAAAUAAGGAAUACGGUUUGGGUGCCUCGCCCCUCUGUUUUUUUUUUCUUUCAGAUCCCUUUUCCUUACCUAACCAUCAUUGCACCCCAUCACCGCAAGAGUUCUCAUGAACCCUGGAUGGAAAAAAAAGCCAAAUCACGAACUUUGUAUUUCAUCAUUCAGUGCGCUUGGGGACUAGGUAAUUGAGGGUAGAGUGGAGUGGGGACUAGGUUGAAGGUGCCGUCGAAGAUGGUUUGCAGGGGUUGGGGCCGAUGAAUCUCGGGUUGUUCGUUGAGGAGGAGAAGAAGGAGUUGGGCAAUGGGUUGGGGAGGGGAUGAGAGAGAAAGAGAGAGAGAGAGAGAGAGAGAGAGAGAGAGAGAGAGAGAGAGAGAGAGAGAGAGAGAGAGAGAGAGAGAGAGAGAGAGAGAGAGAGAGAGAGAGAGAAAGAGGCUGAGAGGAGGGAGGGGGAAGGGAACGGAAGCAGGGAGGAGGGGGAGAGUUGCUCUUUUCUUUUCUUUUCUUUAUUUUUUUUCUAAUUUUUUUAGAUUUUAAAUGUUAAAGCUUUUUUUUAAAAUUUUUAUUUAGAUCCACUUGGCAUUAUCUCAUUGGACAUGUGGGCACCACAUAUGUGCCGUGCCAUCAAUUUAACAUAAAUUUUAACGGAAUCUAACGGCAUGGAUCAAAUUGAUGUGUGAGGUGUAACAUAAAGAACCAAUAAAUGUCAACCAAAAAAAAAAAUGAAGGACCAAAGACAAUAAUUUCACAAACCUCAAAAACCAUUUGUGAUAAAAACCCUAAUAAAGGAAAACGUAUUCAAAUAAUUAACCCACA
rnacentral:lncRNA from 1 species